rnacentral:rRNA from 1 species
GAUGAACGCUGGCGGCGUGCCUAAUACAUGCAAGUCGAGCGAACGGACGAGAAGCUUGCUUCUCUGAUGUUAGCGGCGGACGGGUGAGUAACACGUGGAUAACCUACCUAUAAGACUGGGAUAACUUCGGGAAACCGUAGCUAAUACCGGAUAAUAUUUUGAACCGCAUGGUUCAAAAGUGAAAGACGGUCUUGCUGUCACUUAUAGAUGGAUCCGCGCUGCAUUAGCUAGUUGGUAAGGUAACGGCUUACCAAGGCAACGAUGCAUAGCCGACCUGAGAGGGUGAUCGGCCACACUGGAACUGAGACACGGUCCAGACUCCUACGGGAGGCAGCAGUAGGGAAUCUUCCGCAAUGGGCGAAAGCCUGACGGAGCAACGCCGCGUGAGUGAUGAAGGUCUUCGGAUCGUAAAACUGUGUUAUUAGGGAAGAACAUAUGUGUAAGUAACUGUGCACAUCUUGACGGUACCUAAUCAGAAAGCCACGGCUAACUACGUG